UACUCCUACGGGAGGCAGCAGUGGGGAAUAUUGCACAAUGGGGGAAACCCUGAUGCAGCGACGCCGCGUGAGUGAAGAAGUAUUUCGGUAUGUAAAGCUCUAUCAGCAGGGAAGAAAAUGACGGUACCUGAGUAAGAAGCCCCGGCUAACUACGUGCCAGCAGCCGCGGUAAUACGUAGGGGGCAAGCGUUAUCCGGAUUUACUGGGUGUAAAGGGAGCGCAGACGGCUCUGCAAGUCUGAAGUGAAAGCCCGCGGCUUAACCGCGGGACUGCUUUGGAAACUGCAAGGCUUGAGUAUCGGAGGGGCAGGCGGAAUUCCUAGUGUAGCGGUGAAAUGCGUAGAUAUUAGGAAGAACACCGGUGGCGAAGGCGGCCUGCUGGACGAAAACUGACGUUGAGGCUCGAAGGCGUGGGGAGCAAACAGGAUUAGAUACCCUGGUAGUCCACGCGGUAAACGAUGAAUACUAGGUGUUGGUGCCCGAAGGGCAUCGGUGCCGUCGCAAACGCAAUAAGUAUUCCACCUGGGGAGUACGUUCGCAAGAAUGAAACUCAAAGGAAUUGACGGA
rnacentral:rRNA from 1 species